AUGCACAAUUCAUUGUCCUGCUCUUCUCAUUAUUUAGAGCAGUGAUAUUUCUGUUGUGCAAGAAAAAGGUGGAGGUAAAUUAGCAGAGUGGCUCGUCAGUACCACAUCUGCCAGUCCCCUUCAUACAGUA
rnacentral:snoRNA from 1 species